CAGAAAAUAAAAUUAUUUUUGGAUUACUACAUCAAAUGUUUCCAGGGAUGACGAAUAUAAAUCCGCAGAUGUUUAUUGAGAGGACACCACAUGCGGCCAGUUUAAAUUGUAACAUGAAGACACAGGCUGUGUCAGAAAACUGGAAAAUGCCUUCGUAGGCUGUAGGAGGAUGGCUGAAGGUGUGACUUGUUAAGAAGGUCCGAGGUCUACCCACCAGUCUCAAAAAAUCCUGUGGGAAACACCAAACAGCAUCUGGAGACUGCGAGCCAUUGGUGUGUGUGUGUGUGUGUGUGUGUGCGUACCUUCAUAGAAAAUAAUUGUUUCAAAUUUUAGAAAGUGCCAUGUUGUCCGCCAGACCCAUCCAGUGUGCAACCCACUUUAAUUAACCCUGCCACUCACACUUUACCAAAUCUUUGUUGAGAAAUAUGUUUGAAAAAACUAUUGUGGAAUGAGAAGCACUGUUUAUAUCAGAAAAAAUCUAGAUAGAUAUCGAUAGUCAAUGGGAAAAUAUUCUGAUUAUCAAUAUGUAAAAAUGGCAUAGAUCCCAAGCCUACUAAAAACGUGCAAAGGUUAAUUUGUGGUAAUUUUUGCCAUCAUACGAUCCAUUAGAAUCAACAAAUUACUUUAAAUUACUCAACAAGGGGGGUAAAAAGCUUUAAUACAUUAACCACUCUCACCAGCUCCUG